GACGAACGCUGGCGGCGUGCUUAACACAUGCAAGUCGAACGGAAAGGCCCUGCUUUUGUGGGGUGCUCGAGUGGCGAACGGGUGAGUAACACGUGAGUAACCUGCCCUUGACUUUGGGAUAACUUCAGGAAACUGGGGCUAAUACCGGAUAGGAGCUCCUGCUGCAUGGUGGGGGUUGGAAAGUUUCGGCGGUUGGGGAUGGACUCGCGGCUUAUCAGCUUGUUGGUGGGGUAGUGGCUUACCAAGGCUUUGACGGGUAGCCGGCCUGAGAGGGUGACCGGCCACAUGGGGCCUGAGAUACGGCCCAGACGCCUACGGGAGGCAGCAGUGGGGAAUAUUGCACAGUGGGCGGAAGCCUGAGGCAGCAACGCCGCGUGCGGGAUGACGGCCUUCGGGUUGUAAACCGCUUUCGCCUGUGACGAAGCGUGAGUGACGGUAAUGGGUAAAGAAGCACCGGCUAACUACGUG
rnacentral:rRNA from 1 species